rnacentral:ncRNA from 1 species
AUCUUCAGGGCGAGGUGAAAUUCCUCACUGGCGGUAAUGCGUAACGCAAAGCCCGCGACCCCAAUAGGAUUUCUUUUGCGAUGGUGCUCAUUAGUGACAUUGGUAAGUGAAUGAAUAUUGGGCUGAUUCGGUUGAACUCCGAAGCCAACGGUUAAAGUCCGGAUGGAAGAAGAUG